rnacentral:tRNA from 1 species
GCGUCCGGUUUCAUCCCGGAUUGUUGGCAAUCCCUGCACUCCGAAGGCAGAGGUCACAGGUUCGAAUCCUGUCGGGUGCGCCA